GCCCAUGUAGGCAAAUAGGAAAAGCCGCCAGAUUUAGGUUCUGGUGCUUGGGGGUUCGAUUCCCUCCAUGGGUA
rnacentral:tRNA from 1 species